rnacentral:piRNA from 1 species
UACCAUGACCACCUGGUUGAGGGUUUC